rnacentral:rRNA from 1 species
ACCAACAGGGAUUGCCCUAGUAACGGCGAGUGAAGCGGCAACAGCUCAAAUUUGAAAUCUGGCUCUUUCAGAGUCCGAGUUGUAAUUUGCAGAGGGCGCUUUGGCUUUGGCAGCGGUCCAAGUUCCUUGGAACAGGACGUCACAGAGGGUGAGAAUCCCGUACGUGGUCGCUAGCUAUUGCCGUGUAAAGCCCCUUCGACGAGUCGAGUUGUUUGGGAAUGCAGCUCUAAAUGGGAGGUAAAUUUCUUCUAAAGCUAAAUAUUGGCCAGAGACCGAUAGCGCACAAGUAGAGUGAUCGAAAGAUGAAAAGCACUUUGGAAAGAGAGUCAAACAGCACGUGAAAUUGUUGAAAGGGAAGCGCUUGCAGCCAGACUUGCUUGCAGUUGCUCAUCCGGGCUUUUGCCCGGUGCACUCUUCUGUAGGCAGGCCAGCAUCAGUUUGGGCGGUGGGAUAAAGGUCUCUGUCACGUACCUCCUUUCGGGGAGGCCUUAUAGGGGAGACGACAUACCACCAGCCUGGACUGAGGUCCGCGCAUCUGCUAGGAUGCUGGCGUAAUGGCUGUAAGCGGCCCGUCUUGAAACACGGACCAAGGAGUCUAACAUCUAUGCGAGUGUUUGGGUGUCAAGCCCGAGCGCGUAAUGAAAGUGAACGGAGGUGGGAACCCGCAAGGGCGCACCAUCGACCGAUCCUGAAGUUUACGGAAGGAUUUGAGUAAGAGCAUGGCUGUUGGGACCCGAAAGAUGGUGAACUAUGCUUGAAUAGGGUGAAGCCAGAGGAAACUCUGGUGGAGGCUCGCAGCGGUUCUGACGUGCAAAUCGAUCGUCAAAUUUGGGCAUAGGGGCGAAAGACUAAUC